GUCAUGACGGCAGACACCCAAAGAGUUUUGGCUUUGCCAGAAUCACCAAGACUUACCAUUCAAGGUGAAACACCAGUGACUUUGGUGCGUUGGGUGGUGUCCAUUGAGGGACAGGCACACUCAGACUCUGUGGCACGGUUGGCUAGGAAGCUUCUACAACUUCAACCUGCAGUACCAAGUGGACGGUAGUCACAGCCUGGAAUUCAUUCAAAGUUUUCUGUGGUGGCGACCUGCACC